GGCCCUGCGCAGAGCAGGGGAUGGGGGGAGGGUGGGCUCUGUCUGUCUCCUGUCUUUGAAUGAAGCCUCUUUCAUCAGCACUUUCGAAUGCUGACACUGGCCUGCAGCUGCUUGUUCAAGGAAUCACACUGGCGAUUUUUGCAUGUUUGACACUUUGUUACUCGGAGGGAGGGGACAGGCUGGCAGAAUCAGAGGAUGCUUUUGCUUUUGGAAUGAGGGUCUCGGGACUUUGUGACGCAGGUCCUGUGUCGACCUGGACGCCAUCGGGGACAUGUCUUUCCAGACCGGAGGGUGUCCAGCCCGCAGGCAGGCAGGCCCAGGCCCCUUGGGCAAGAAAGGGAAACUGCAGACUCAUGUUUCUUGCUUCAGCUGGAGCCUGUUGCCACAGGAAGAAGCCCCUUCUGGAGGUGUCCUUGACCCCCAACACCUGCGAGGAGCUGAGUCACCUCCGUUAUGACCUCAGGGCUCUCCUCCUCCAGAGCAUCUCAGAGACCAGAGGAAAAAGCCCACGGAAACCACCCAACCAAACAACAACAGCAGAAAGGGAAGAAGUGACAACUGGACACCUUCUGGGGCUCCACCUUCAGUCCUGACCCGCCAGCCAAACUCUGCUGCACUCGACGGUCACCACGGAGUCCUGUCCUGGGGCUACUGUGAGUAACAAAAGUACCACAGACUGGUGGGGAAGAAAUGUG